CCUAGGGCUGAAGCUCAGUGGUGGAGCAUCUGCCUUAUGAGCAGAAAGUCCCAGGUUCAAAUCCUGUCAGGUAGGG